rfam:Brachypodium distachyon strain Bd21 chromosome 3, whole genome shotgun sequence.
ACAGUACUCCCUCCGUUUCAUAAUUAUUGUCGAAAUCUUACAUGUAUCUAGACAUUUGUUUAUGAAUAGAUACAUUCAUUUUUGAACAAUUUUGAGACAAGAAUUAUGAAACGGAGGGAGUACGAG